UAUGAUUCAUGUUUCGGACUUAUUCCCGAAAGUUUUUAGCCUACUGGACGCCUCGGAGGCAAAUCUAAAGAAUAUUGGUUAACUGUACAAGAGUACAAUCACAUCGCCACAUAUAUACUGUUGAAUUGUGAAGAACUUAAGCCAUACGAAAGACUUUUUGACGAGGAUGUUUUGGCAACAUAUCCUAAUCUAUGUGGGGAGGAACUUGAAGGAAUGAAGGAACAACAUUAUGCAUCUUGGCUUCGAGACUACAUUCAGUCACGCAGUGAUAGAAUUCCGGCAUGGAUCAGAGAUAUAUCACAUGGACCUGGAAGAAAAGUCAUUUGCUGGCCGAUAAUGUUCACCCGAGGAUACACGUUUCACACUUACGAUCAUGGGAAACAUAAAUCCACCUUCAAUUACGGAGUUUGUAUAAAAAGCGGGUCAUCGGAAGAUCCUGAUUUCUUUGGGGUUCUUCGUCAGAUUUUCCAA